rnacentral:rRNA from 1 species
CAGUCGCCGCGGUAAUACAGAGGGUGCGAGCGUUAAUCGGAUUUACUGGGCGUAAAGCGUGCGUAGGCGGCUUCUUAAGUCGGAUGUGAAAUCCCUGAGCUUAACUUAGGAAUUGCAUUCGAUACUGGGAAGCUAGAGUAUGGGAGAGGAUGGUAGAAUUCCAGGUGUAGCGGUGAAAUGCGUAGAGAUCUGGAGGAAUACCGAUGGCGAAGGCAGCCAUCUGGCCUAAUACUGACGCUGAGGUACGAAAGCAUGGGGAGCAAACAGGAUUAGAGACCCGUGUAGUCCCUGUCUCUUAUAC